AUUGAACGCUGGCGGCAUGCUCUACACAUGCAAGUCGAACGGUAACAGGCCUUCGGGUGCUGACGAGUGGCGAACGGGUGAGUAAUGCAUCGGAACGUGCCCAGAGGUGGGGGAUAACGCAGCGAAAGCUGUGCUAAUACCGCAUGUGAUCUGAGGAUGAAAGCGGGGGACCAGGCAGCAAUGUUUGGCCUCGCGCCUUUGGAGCGGCCGAUGUCAGAUUAGGUAGUUGGUGGGGUAAAGGCCUACCAAGCCGACGAUCUGUAGCUGGUCUGAGAGGACGACCAGCCACACUGGGACUGAGACACGGCCCAGACUCCUACGGGAGGCAGCAGUGGGGAAUUUUGGACAAUGGGCGCAAGCCUGAUCCAGCAAUGCCGCGUGCGGGAAGAAGGCCUUCGGGUUGUAAACCGCUUUUGUACGGAACGAAAAGGCUCUGGCUAAUACCUGGGGCUGAUGACGGUACCGUAAGAAUAAGCACCGGCUAACUACGUG
rnacentral:rRNA from 1 species